CAGAUUUCAAUAACAUUCCUGUACCAGGCCAGAUACGGUGGCUUACACCUGUAGUCCUAGCACUUUGGGAGGCCCAGUCAGGAGGAUUGCAUGGACCGAGGAGUCUGAGGCUACGGUUGGGCACAGUGGCUCACGCCUGUAAUCCAAGCGCUUUGGGAGGCCAAGACGGGCGGAUCACUUGAGCUCAGGAGUUUGAGACCAGCCUGGACAACAUGGAGAAACCCUGUCUCUACCAAAAAUACAAAAAAUUAUCCCGGUGUGGUGGUGUAUGCCUGUGAUUCCAGCUACUCGGGAGAAUGAGGUGGGAGAAUUGCUUGAGCCCAG
rnacentral:lncRNA from 1 species